GACGAACGCUGGCGGCGUGCCUAAUACAUGCAAGUCGAACGAAGCUGUUUUAACUGGUGCUUGCACCGACUUGAACAACUGAGUGGCGAACGGGUGAGUAACACGUGGGUAACCUGCCCCAAAGCGGGGGAUAACAUUUGGAAACAGAUGCUAAUACCGCAUAACCACAGAAACCACAUGGUUUCUGUGUCAAAGAUGGUUUCGGCUAUCACUUUGGGAUGGACCCGCGGCGUAUUAGCUAGUUGGUAAGGUAAUGGCUUACCAAGGCAAUGAUACGUAGCCGAACUGAGAGGUUGAUCGGCCACAUUGGGACUGAGACACGGCCCAAACUCCUACGGGAGGCAGCAGUAGGGAAUCUUCCACAGUGGACGAAAGUCUGAUGGAGCAACGCCGCGUGAGUGAAGAAGGUUUUCGGAUCGUAAAACUCUGUUGUCAGAGAAGAACGUGUGCGAGAGUAACUGCUCGUGCAGUGACGGUAUCUGGCCAGAAAGCCACGGCUAACUACGUGCCAGCCGCCGCGGUAA
rnacentral:rRNA from 1 species